AGCAGCCGCGGUAAUUCCAGCUCCAAUAGCGUAUAUUAAAGUUGUUGCAGUUAAAAAGCUCGUAGUUGAAUUUCGGGAUCAAUAUGUUGGUCGUGCCUUGGUACGUACUGGCAUUAUUGGUUCCUACCUUCUGAAGAACCUCGAUGUCAUUAAUUUGGUGUCUUGGGGAAUCAGGACCGUUACUUUGAAAAAAUUAGAGUGUUUAAAGCAGGCUCGCGCUUGAAUACAUUAGCAUGGAAUAAUGAAAUAGGACGUUUGAUUCUAUUUUGUUGGUUUCUAGGAUCGACGUAAUGAUUAAUAGGGAUAGUUGGGGGCAUUAGUAUUCAAUUGUCAGAGGUGAAAUUCUUGGAUUUAUUGAAGACUAACUACUGCGAAAGCAUUUGCCAAGGAUGUUUUCAUUAAUCAAGAACGAAAGUUAGGGGAUCGAAGACGAUCAGAUACCGUCGUAGUCUUAACCAUAAACUAUGCCGACUAGGGAUCGGAUGAUGUUAAUUUUUAAUGACUCAUUCGGCGCCUUACG
rnacentral:rRNA from 1 species